rnacentral:lncRNA from 1 species
GAAGGUCGUCCCCGCGCAGCCAGAGCUGCUGCGCGCAGUGCAACCGGUCUCUCCUUGGGGGACCGGUCUCUCGGGGACCGGUCUCUCAGACAGGGACCGGUUCCCGAGAGCUGGUUUCUCAGGACUUAGCCGAUUUUUCGGCUGUCUCAUUUCAUACGCGUUCGGGAACCGGUCUCUCCCACCAGGGACCGGUCCCCGAGAGCUGAAAAUCUGCAGUUUUG